rnacentral:rRNA from 1 species
UACAGAGGGUGCAAGCGUUGUUCGGAAUUAUUGGGCGUAAAGGGCGCGUAGGCGGAUCGCUAAGUCAGGGGUGAAAUCCCAGGGCUCAACCCUGGAACUGCCUUUGAUACUGACGGUCUGGAGAUCGGGAGAGGUUGGUGGAAUUCCGAGUGUAGAGGUGAAAUUCGUAGAUAUUCGGAGGAACACCAGAAGCGAAGGCGGCCAACUGGCCCGAUACUGACGCUGAGGCGCGAAAGCGUGGGAGCAAACAGG